GUUAGCCUCAUGGGUGGGGUUUAGUCAACAGACAGAGCACAGAGGAGCUGUGGUUCCAAAUGAGGGUGAAGGCCUAACCAGGAGAAGACAAAGAAAUGGAGUCCAAUCAAGAGCUGUAGAAAUAGAUUGUUUUGUCCUGCAGUCUCUAGCAACUACAUUAACCUCAGGUGUCACCUGUAACACCAUAGGCAAAAUAUUUCAAACUGACAAUUUUUUCAGUUUU